rnacentral:rRNA from 1 species
AAUCAACGCUGGCGGCGUGCCUCAGACAUGCAAGUCGAACGAUUAAGACUUCCUUCGGGAAGUGUAUAAAGUGGCGCACGAGUGAGUAACACGUAAGUAAUCUACCUUCGAGUGGGGAAUAACAUCGGGAAACCGAUGCUAAUACCGCAUAAUGCAGCGGCAUCGCAAGAUGACAGUUGUUAAAGGAGCAAUUCGCUUGAAGAGGAGCUUGCGGCAGAUUAGCUAGUUGGUAAGGUAAUGGCUUACCAAGGCUACGAUCUGUAUCCGGUCUAAGAGGACGGUCGGACACACUGACACUGAAUAACGGGUCAGACUCCCACGGGAGGCAGCAGUCGGGAAUUUUGGGCAAUGGGCGAAAGCCUGACCCAGCAACGCCGCGUGAGGGAUGAAGUAUUUCGGUAUGUAAACCUCGAAAGAAUGGGAAGAAUAAAUGACGGUACCAUUUAUAAGCUCCGGCUAACUACGUGCCAGCAGCCGCCGUAAGAC